GUGAAGUUGCUCAGUCGUGUCCGACUCUUAGCGACCCCAUCGACUGCAGGGUAUCAGGCUCCUCCGGCCAUGGGAUUUUCCAGGCAAGAGUACUGGAGUGGGGUGCCAUUGCCUUCUCUGGAUGAGGAGAGUAGAACACAGCUAAACUUUUGUGCUGUAAAUCCUACUUCAGAAUCAUAAACUCCAAUGUGAUAACUUGGCUGGGAAUCACUUGCUCUGGAACUUCUUAGGAGUAUGAGACUGGGGAAAUCAUCCUUGGGGAUCUUAUGAAGACCUUCUCAUGAGUAGAAUACAGUGGAAGAGGAACAUGUGUGGAAAUGAAAAUGAAAAUGCCACUCAGAAAUCAUGCUUCAGCAAAAUAGGCCAAGUUAAAUGUUGAAUUUUAAUAACAUACUGUUAAUCAUGCUUUCCUUCCUGUCUUCCACAACUAUGUACUUACACAUCCCAGAAUAGAAAUGGAACUUUUUGACAUUUCCUAAUAUUUUAAAAUGAUAAACCGAAAUUACCCUUUGGAAAGCAUAAUUGUUAGUAAUAAAAAGCUGCUAUAUUUCUCUACUAUGAAGAUGUGCUUUAAGCACAAGCGGGAUACUUUAUGUCUUAGCUGUUCUUGCACAUCAGUUAAAUUAGAAUGCUUUGAUAUGUUAAUUAUUUAUCAUUUUAAAUUAUGCAUCUUCAAAAAUCAAAGAAACACAUAACCUAUAAUUUAUUAUUCAUUUAGCAUGAAAAUGUGUCUUUAUGUGGCAGUUUCUCUUCUAGGUACAGAACUUCUGUUUUGAUGUAAAACUUAUCAACAUAUGGCUUCAAAUGCAGGAUGGAAAAAUUAAGUUAUUUGAAAAACUUCACACACAAAAUCUCUAGCAAUUGUUUUCCAAUGUGAUUUUGCCAGUUUAUAUGUCUUAAUGAUGUUCUAAACCUGUGCCUCUGUGGAUAGAGACAGACACAGAUACAGAUACAGUAUAAUUAGGUAUGGCAUCUACAUCUGUGUCAUUGCCUAUACCUGUAUCUAUAUAUCUUUGUGUGUAUGUAUGUGUUUGGUUUCUGCAAAAAUAAAUAUUCUGGAAUUCAGACAAAUGCGUCAAGUUCAUAGCAUGUUGAAGUAAAUAGAGGGCUCUCUAUAAAUAAUGAAAUAUAUAAUUAAAUAGCAUUUUCUCUACUUCUAACAGGCAAGAUUCUACUUUCUUAUCUGUUUUUACAGUAAAGGGAGCCAUAUAACUAGAAAAAUACAAUGUCCUUUUUCCCAGGUGCUCUAAAAACAAAUUAUCUAAUAUCAGCAUCUACUCCCUUAAAUAAAUUAAUACAACAUACAUUAUGUUAACUGUUGAUGUAUAUGUUAGGGAUCACCCAAAGAAGAAAGUGAUAAACAUGUAUACAAACAGAAAGGGCUUGCUAGUUAAGAAUUUGAGUUAUUUAGGAGUGUUUAUGCAAAAGUUUGAGAAACAAGCCUGAGGAAUGGUUAUACUACAUUAUAGUUUUUCCCCAACUUUGUUUAAUGCCGUAUUAGAAGUGAUAACCUAACCAUUGUCACCUAACCAUUCCAAAAGAAAAGGAUAUCAAAUGUACUGAAUACUUUCUAGUUAUGAACACUAACUAUUGAGCUCUACUUAUGUUUCAU